rnacentral:lncRNA from 1 species
CAUUGAUUUAACCUACACGUGCUGUUGCAAAGACUGUUCUUAACAACUACUUUGUAUGGGAAUUACAGAGAUCUCAAGAAAGAAGAAAAGUGGAAAGGGUAUAUAAGAAAGGGAAGGAAAGAAAGAAGAAAGAAAGGGAGGCCAUGAAAUAUAAAUGAGCUCUAUUAAACGUUGGCUAAGCAUCAUGCUAAAUGAUUUAACACUUUUACCAUUUUAUCGUCUCAAAAGCUUAUCAUGUGCCUAUUAUUGUACACAUUUUGGAGGUUUCGUAAAGGCAUCACAGCUUAGUUACAAUCAUUAAUGCUGGACUUGCCAACUGAGAGGUGAUUGUAAAGGCUUUCAAAACAGAAGCAUAUCUGUAUCUCCAGCAGUGUGUUUCCAGUCACAGAAGAAGCAUUCAAUAAAUUAUUUUGAAUGGAUGAAUUCAGCUAACACAGUCUCUAUAGCCAGUUGUCUAAGUCAUUAUCUAAAGCAUAUGGUAAAAUUUCUUAUUUCAAAAACAGAACAGUAACAAUUGAAGGCUUUUCAGAAAGAAUAAAACAUUUGAAGGAGGUAACUAAUCUAUCAGGCUUUUUAAAAAAAUAUUUGAUUCUUUGUUCCUACUUCGUCCUCUGGUUUCUCAACACUUAAAAUGCCAGAGUUAGCUAGCUAUAUAAUUCUCACAAAAUCCAUUCCCUUUAACAUGAACUCUUUACCAACAAAUAAAAGAAUGCCUAAGCACUUAUCGAUCAUUUCCAGCUAGUCAGUAAUCAAUUCUAAUGGGGAGACAAAGACAGUGGUGGAAUUAUUUUCACUUCUUAAAUGGACCCAAAUUCAUUGAGCAUCUUAAAGAAAAAAUUAUCAUCAUUUGUUUAU